rnacentral:rRNA from 1 species
AACGAACGCUGGCGGCAUGCUUAACACAUGCAAGUCGCACGGGAACCUGGGGCUUGCUCCAGGGGAGAGUGGCGCACGGGUGAGUAACGCGUAGAUAACGUUCCCGUUGGUUUGGAAUAACCUGCCGAAAGGCGGGCUAAUACCAAGUAAGCUCCCUUGAAAUUUGUUUUGGGGAGGAAAGACAGGCGACUGCGCCGACGGAUCGUCUGCGUCCCACUCAGCUUGUUGGUGAGGUAACGGCCNCACCAAGGCAACGACGGGUAGCUGGUCGUGAGAGGGCGGACGGUCACACCGACACUGAAUAACGGGU